AAGUCGUAACAAGGUCUCCGUUGGUGAACCAGCAGGAGGGAUCAUUACUGAGUACUACACUCUCUACCCUUUGUGAACUAUUAUACCUGUUGCUUCGGCGGCGCCCGCAAGGGUGCCCGCCGGUCUCAUCAGAAUCUCUGUUUUCGAACCCGACGAUACUUCUGAGUGUUCUUAGCGAACUGUCAAAACUUUUAACAACGGAUCUCUUGGCUCCAGCAUCGAUGAAGAACGCAGCGAAACGCGAUAUGUAAUGUGAAUUGCAGAAUUCAGUGAAUCAUCGAAUCUUUGAACGCACAUGGCGCCUUCCAGUAUCCUGGGAGGCAUGCCUGUCCGAGCGUCGUUUCAACCCUCGAGCCCCUGUGGCCCGGCGUUGGGGAUCUGCCACGGCAGGCCCCUAAAACCAGUGGCGGACCCGAAGGGCCCUCUCCUUUGCGCAGUAGCAUUCGCCUCGCAUCGGGAGUCCUCGGCGUCCUGCCUCUAAACCCCCACAAGCCCGCUUCGGCGGCACCAAGGUUGACCUCGGAUCAGGUAGGAAUACCCGCUGAACUUAA
rnacentral:rRNA from 1 species